UACGGAGGGUGCGAGCGUUGUCCGGAAUCACUGGGCGUAAAGGGCGCGUAGGCGGCCUGAUAAGUAGGGGGUGAAAUCCUGCGGCUUAACCGCAGGGCUGCCUUCUAAACUGUCAGGCUCGAGCACAGUAGAGGCAGGUGGAAUUCCAGGUGUAGCGGUGAAAUGCGUAGAUAUCUGGAGGAACACCGGUGGCGAAGGCGGCAUCCUGGACCGGCAUUGACGCUGAGGAGCGAAAGCCAGGGGAGCAAACGGG
rnacentral:rRNA from 1 species